rnacentral:tRNA from 1 species
GGAGAGGUACUGAAGUGGCCAUAACAGCGCCGACUCGAAAUCGGAUGGCCGGAGAAAUCCGGCACGUGGGUUCGAAUCCCACCCUCUCCGCCA